CACGUAGUUAGCCGUGACUUAUUCGUCAGGUACCGUCAUCAUCGUCCCUGACAAAAGAGGUUUACAACCCGAAGGCCGUCAUCCCUCACGCGGCGUUGCUGCGUCAGACUUUCGUCCAUUGCGCAAAAUUCCCCA
rnacentral:rRNA from 1 species